rnacentral:rRNA from 1 species
UACGGGGGGAGCAAGCGUUGUUCGGAUUUACUGGGCGUAAAGGGCGCGUAGGCGGUCAGCACAAGUCAGUUGUGAAAUCUCCGGGCUUAACCCGGAAAGGUCAACUGAUACUGUGCGACUAGAGUGCGGAAGGGGCAACUGGAAUUCUCGGUGUAGCGGUGAAAUGCGUAGAUAUCGAGAGGAACACCUGCGGCGAAGGCGGGUUGCUGAGCCGACACUGACGCUGAUGCGCGAAAGCCAGGGGAGCGAACGGG